rnacentral:rRNA from 1 species
AUUGAACGCUGGCGGCAGGCCUAACACAUGCAAGUCGAACGGUAACAGGAAGACGCUUGCUUCUUUGCUGACGAGUGGCGGACGGGUGAGUAAUGUCUGGGAAACUGCCUGAUGGAGGGGGAUAACUACUGGAAACGGUAGCUAAUACCGCAUAACGUCGCAAGACCAAAGAGGGGGACCUUCGGGCCUCUUGCCAUCGGAUGUGCCCAGAUGGGAUUAGCUAGUAGGUGGGGUAACGGCUCACCUAGGCGACGAUCCCUAGCUGGUCUGAGAGGAUGACCAGCCACACUGGAACUGAGACACGGUCCAGACUCCUACGGGAGGCAGCAGUGGGGAAUAUUGCACAAUGGGCGCAAGCCUGAUGCAGCCAUGCCGCGUGUAUGAAGAAGGCCUUCGGGUUGUAAAGUACUUUCAGCGGGGAGGAAGGGAGUAAAGUUAAUACCUUAGCUCAUUGACGUUACCCGCAGAAGAAGCACCGGCUAACUCCGUG